rnacentral:sRNA from 1 species
CCCUAGCCCUGAUUGAAGCGACAUCCUUUUUGGUUGCGGGCGGAGCGAAGCGGAGACCGUAACCAAAAAGAUACAGCGUAAAGCAGGAAAUAGC